rnacentral:rRNA from 1 species
GACGAACGCUGGCGGCGUGCCUAAUACAUGCAAGUAGAACGCUGAAGGAGGAGCUUGCUUCUCUGGAUGAGUUGCGAACGGGUGAGUAACGCGUAGGUAACCUGCCUGGUAGCGGGGGAUAACUCUUGGAAACGAUAGCUAAUACCGCAUAAGAGUAGAUGUUGCAUGACAUUUGCUUAAAAGGUGCAAUUGUAUUACUACCAGAUGGACCUGCGUUGGUUUAGCUAUGUGGUGGGGGAACGGCUCACCACGGCGACGACACAUAGCCGACCUGAGAGGGUGAUCGGCCACACUGGGACGGAGACACGGCCCAGACUCCUACGGGAGGCAGCAGGAGGGAAACUUCGGCAAUUGACGGAAGGCUGAACGAGCAACGCCGGGGGAGUGAAGAAGGGCUUCGGAUCGUAAAGCUCUGUUGUAAGAGAAGAAAGAGUGUGAGAGUGGAAAGUUCACACUGUGACGGUAUCUUAUCAGAAAGGGACGGCUAACUACGUG